rnacentral:rRNA from 1 species
AGUGAACGCUGGCGGUAGGCCUAACACAUGCAAGUCGAACGGCAGCACAGUAAGAGCUUGCUCUUACGGGUGGCGAGUGGCGGACGGGUGAGGAAUACAUCGGAAUCUACUUUUUCGUGGGGGAUAACGUAGGGAAACUUACGCUAAUACCGCAUACGACCUACGGGUGAAAGCAGGGGAUCUUCGGACCUUGCGCGAUUGAAUGAGCCGAUGUCGGAUUAGCUAGUUGGCGGGGUAAAGGCCCACCAAGGCGACGAUCCGUAGCUGGUCUGAGAGGAUGAUCAGCCACACUGGAACUGAGACACGGUCCAGACUCCUACGGGAGGCAGCAGUGGGGAAUAUUGGACAAUGGGCGCAAGCCUGAUCCAGCCAUACCGCGUGGGUGAAGAAGGCCUUCGCGUUGUAAAGCCCUUUUGUUGGGAAAGAAAAGCAGCGGGUUAAUACCCCGCUGUUCUGACGGUACCCAAAGAAUAAGCACCGGCUAACUUCGUG